UAUNGGACAAUGGGCGAAAGCCUGAUCCAGCNAUGCCGCGUGUGUGAAGAGGGUCUUCGGAUUGUAAAGCACUUUAAGUUGGGAGGAAGGGCAUUAACCGAAUACGUUAGUGUUUUGACGUUACCGACAGAAUAAGCACCGGCGAACUCUGUGCCAGCAGCCGCGGUAAUACAGAGGGUGCAAGCGUUAAUCGGAAUUACUGGGCGUAAAGCGCGCGUAGGUGGUCUGUUAAGCUGGAUGUGAAAGCCCCGGGCUCAACCUGGGAACAGCAUCCAAAACUGGCAAGCUAGAGUACGGUAGAGGGUGGUGGAAUUUCCUGUGUAGCGGUGAAAUGCGUAGAUAUAGGAAGGAACACCAGUGGCGAAGGCGACCACCUGGACUGAUACUGACACUGAGGUGCGAAAGCGUGGGGAGCAAACAGG
rnacentral:rRNA from 1 species